rnacentral:rRNA from 1 species
GAUGAACGCUGGCGGCGUGCCUAAUACAUGCCAGUCGAGCGAACAGAUGAGGAGCUUGCUCCUCUGACGUUAGCGGCGGACGGGUGAGUAACACGUGGAUAACCUACCUAUAAGACUGGGAUAACUUCGGGAAACCGGAGCUAAUACCGGAUAAUAUAUUGAACCGCAUGGUUCAAUAGUGAAAGACGGUUUUGCUGUCACUUAUAGAUGGAUCCGCGCCGCAUUAGCUAGUUGGUAAGGUAACGGCUUACCAAGGCAACGAUGCGUAGCCGACCUGAGAGGGUGAUCGGCCACACUGGAACUGAGACACGGUCCAGACUCCUACGGGAGGCAGCAGUAGGGAAUCUUCCGCAAUGGGCGAAAGCCUGACGGAGCAACGCCGCGUGAGUGAUGAAGGUCUUCGGAUCGUAAAACUCUGUUAUUAGGGAAGAACAAAUGUGUAAGUAACUAUGCGCGUCUUGACGGUACCUAAUCAGAAAGCCACGGCUAACUACGUG